UGGGGUAUUGAAUCCUUCUUCUUGA
rnacentral:tRNA from 1 species